UACGGGGGGGGGUAAGCGUUGUUCGGAAUUACUGGGCGUAAAGGGCUCGUAGGCGGCCAACUAAGUCAUACGUGAAAUCCCUCAGCUUAACUGGGGAACUGCGUGUGAUACUGGAUGGCUUGGAUUUGGGAGAGGGAUGCGGAAUUCCAGGUGUAGCGGUGAAAUGCGUAGAUAUCUGGAGGAAUACCGGUGGCGAAGGCGGCAUCCUGGACCGACAUUGACGCUGAGGAGCGAAAGCUAGGGGAGCAAACGGG
rnacentral:rRNA from 1 species